rnacentral:rRNA from 1 species
UUAAAUUUUUGAAGUUAUCUUAGCUUUUUUGUUGGGUGAAAUCAGUAUAAAGAGUUUCUCUUUCUUUUAAAAUUAAUAGGAAUUAAAAAACUUUGAUUUAAAACCAGGAUUAGAUACCCUGUUAUUCUAAGUUAUAUUUAGACAGGGUAGUAAAAGUUGUUCUUCAAACCCAAAGAUUUUGGCGGCACUUUAUCCAAAUAGAGGAGCUUGUCCCUUAAUCGAUAGUCCCCGUUUUAUCUUUCCUCUGUUUGUAGAGCUUGUAUACCGCCGUUGUCAGAUCACUUUUAGAGAAUGUUUUCAAGUUAAAAGACUUUUUUACUUCAGGUCAAGGUGCAGUUUAUAUAGAGGUGGAGGUGAGCUACAAUUUUCUUUAUAAAUACGGAUUUCAAGCCUCGAAGCUGGUUGAAGGCGGAUUUAUUAGUAAAGUAAUUUAAGUAAA